rnacentral:rRNA from 1 species
UACGAAGGUGGCAAGCGUUGUUCGGAUUUACUGGGCGUACAGGGAGCGUAGGCGGUUGGGUAAGCCCUCCGUGAAAUCUCCGGGCCUAACCCGGAAAGUGCGGAGGGGACUGCUCGGCUAGAGGAUGGGAGAGGAGCGCGGAAUUCCCGGUGUAGCGGUGAAAUGCGUAGAGAUCGGGAGGAAGGCCGGUGGCGAAGGCGGCGCUCUGGAACAUUUCUGACGCUGAGGCACGAAAGCGUGGGGAGCAAACAGG